rnacentral:rRNA from 1 species
UCAGACGAUGCGUCAUGCAUAUCAAUAAGCGGAGGAAAAGAAACUAACAAGGAUUCCCCUAGUAACGGCGAGUGAAGCGGGAAGAGCUCAAAUUUGAAAUCUUAAAGGGUUUCCCUUUACGAAUUGUAGUUUAAAGAAGUGUUUUCUGUUGAGGUUUUGGUAAAAGUUCUUUGGAAUAGGACAUCAUAGAGGGUGAGAAUCCCGUAUUUGACCUUUACUUUCAACUUUGUGAUACACUUUCAAAGAGUCGGAUUGUUUGGGAAUGCAGUCCAAAAUGGGUGGUAAAUUUCAUCUAAAGCUAAAUAUUGGCGAGAGACCGAUAGCGAACAAGUACCGUGAGGGAAAGAUGAAAAGAACUUUGAAAAGAGAGUUAAACAGUACGUGAAAUUGUCAAAAGGGAAGCGUUUGACACCAGUGUUGUUUUUCUGAAAAUCAAUUAAAGAACUGUUUAUGCUAAGCUGUUUAGACUUUAUCAGCUAUCUGUUUAGUUUUAGGCUUUUCUUUAAUGCACUUUUCAGUUAACAAGUCAACAUCAAUUUCUUUUGCUGUAAAAAAGCUUGAGGAAGGUGGCUUGAGAUUCGUCUUAAGUGUUUAUAGCCUCUUGCCUAUGCAGUCGGAGAGAUUGAGGUCUGAAGCGUAGAUCCUUCGGGGCUAAAUGCAUUUGUGCUAAGUUAUAGCAUUUUAUAGACAACUUGUUGACUAUGAUUUGUCUUGUAGCUUACUCGCUUAUGUUAUUUUACCUACGCUUAGGAUGUUGACACACGCGCGUGCUCG